UGGGUACGGGGAUUAUGGUUCGAUUCCGGAGAGGUUCCUUCUUCACGGCUACCACAUCUAAGGAAGGCAUCAGGCGCGCAAAUUACCCAAUCCUAAUACAGGGAGGUAGUGACAAGAAAUAACAAUACAGGACUUUUUGGUUUUGUAAUUGGAAUGAGUUAAGUAUAAACCCCUUUACAAGUAUCAAUUGGAGGGCAAGUCUGGUGCCAGCAGCCGCGGUAAUUCCAGCUCCAAUAGCGUAUAUUAAAGUUGUUGCAGUUAAAAAGCUCGUAGUUGGAUUUCUGUUAAUAAUUUAUAUAAAAUAUUUUGAAUAUUUAUAUAACAUUAACAUAAUUCAUAUUACUAUAUUUUUUAUUAUAUGAAAUUUUACUUUUAUAAAAUUAUAGUGCUUAAAGCAGGCAUAUGCCUUGAAUACUCCACCAUGGAAUAAUAUUAAAGAUUUUUAUCUUUCUUAUUGGUUCUAAGAUAAGAAUAAUGAUUAAUAGGGACAGUUGGGGGCAUUUGUAUUUAACAGUCAGAGGAGAAUUCUUUAUAAGAA
rnacentral:rRNA from 14 species